rnacentral:rRNA from 1 species
CAGCCGCCACGGUAAUACGUAAGUCCCGAGCGUUGUCCGGAUUUAUUGGGCGUAAAGCGAGCGCAGGCGGUUAGAUAAGUCUGAAGUUAAAGGCUGUGGCUUAACCAUAGUAUGCUUUGGAAACUGUUUAACUUGAGUGCAGAAGGGGAGGGUGGAAUUCCAUGUGUAGCGGUGAAAUGCGUAGAUAUAUGGAGGAACACCGGUGGCGAAAGCGGCUCUCUGGUCUGUAACUGACGCUGAGGCUCGAAAGCGUGGGUAGCGAACAGGAUUAGAUACCCGAGUAGUCCCUGUCUCUUAUACA